GACUGUCCAAGAAAUUGCCCCUGAGUCUGUGUACAGAACUUGGAGAGAAGCGAGGGUAGAUAAUAAAGGGGCAUCCAAUUUUCCAAAUAUAACUUGGCGUUUUAACGUGAGUAAGAAAGCUAGGCAUCUUGUUCGUCUGCACUUUUGUGACUUUAUCAGCGAGUCACCGGUACUGUGAAAUUUGAUCUCAAUAUAUCUACCAAUUUCAGUCAUGUGAUCGAUCCUAAUUCUGGUGGGUUUAGUGAAAUGGCAUCUCCAUUUUUCUACGAUUUUGUGGUUGCUUCUGAUGAUUCCGGAUAUAUGAGUUUUAGUAUAGCCCCAGGAAAUAAUUCUAUUAAGAAAGUUGCUUUUCUGAAUGGACUGGAGAUCAUGGAGUUUGUGGGGAAAAAAAUAAUUGUAGUGCCUGUUGAUGAACGUGAGUCAAAAAACCAUCUAGCUCUCAUAAUUGGUUCAGCUGGAGGUGUGGCUCUAGUCUUGGUUUUGAUUUUAUUAUUCUCAUUAUGUUUGAGAUUAAAGCGACCAAAGCCCGUAAAAGCUGAGUUUCUUUAUGGAAAAGGGAGGUCUCCCAGUUGGAUAACUGAAAGAACUGAAAAUGCCUCCUCCAACGUUACUAAUUUAAACCUCAAACUGAAGAUGUCUUUAGCUGAAAUACUGGCGGCGACUCAUAAUUUCAAUCCAAAGUUGUUGAUUGGUGAGGGUGGGUUUGGCAAAGUUUAUAAAGGAACUCUUGAGAGUGGUAUGAAGGUGGCUGUGAAACGAAGCGAUUCAAGUCAUGGCCAAGGUCUUCCAGAGUUCCAAACUGAGGUCAUGGUCCUUUCAAAGAUUCAACAUCGGCAUCUUGUUUCCUUGGUUGGCUACUGCGAUGAAGGAUCGGAGAUGAUAUUGGUUUUUGAAUUCAUGGAAAAGGGGACUUUGAGGGACCACUUAUACAGCAGGAAGGAGUGCUUAAAGAAUCCAUCUGCAGAAACUGAAUUGACUUGGAAACAAAGGCUUGAAAUCUGUAUUGGCUCAGCAAAAGGUCUCCAUUACCUCCAUACUGGUCCAGAUGGAGGAAUCUUUCACCGUGAUGUUAAGUCUACAAACAUCUUACUUGAUGAACAUUACGUGGCCAAAGUAGCUGAUUUCGGUCUUUCUCAACAAGGAAUGCCUGAUCCGGACCAUAUAAGCAUGGGUUUUAAAGGUACUUUUGGUUAUCUUGACCCUGAAUAUUUCAGAACUUUUCAGUUAACCAACAAAUCAGAUGUGUAUGCUUUUGGUGUGGUUCUUCUUGAGGUGCUUUGUGCUCGACCCCUGUUGUAGACUCACAGCAGAAGGAAGAAAUAAACUUAGCUGAAUGGGGGAUGUUUUGGCAAAAGGAAGGGCAGCUUGAAAAGAUUAUUGAUCCUCUACUAGCAGGUCACAUCAACCUUAAUUCACUGAGAAAAUUUGGUGAAAUAGUCGAGAAGUGUUUGAAGCCCCAAGGAGCAGACAGGCCUAAUAUGCAUGAUGUGUGCUGGGAUUUAGAAUACGCAAUGCAGCUUCAACAGACUGCAGUGCAUAGAGAGGCACAUGAGGACACCACCAUAACAGGUGUUUCAUCAGAUUCAGCACUCCCAGUCAUGCAGAACAUGAGAUCUAAUAUGUUCCCAGUUGAUGAUUUCUCAGAUACAACAGAUACUGUAAUGUAUCCCAACUAAGAAUUAACGAUUCCAGAUGAUCUCCACGAGUCAGGAAUGAGCUCUCAGUACCUCCUAUUAUUAUAUCAAAUUUCUCCAGCAACGAAUGGACUUUGAAGUCAUUUGAGUAUAUGCUCUAGUUAAUUCAUGUUGUCAGAUUAGAAGUUCUAAAUAACAGCAACUAUGUUCACAAGCUUUAUCGAUUACACCAAAUGCCUUAGUAAUUCUCUGGGUUGGAAGUGCCUGUUCAACUAAGAGUGAUUGAGGUUGAUAGCAUGGCAGAUUUUAGAUGCUAAUAUAUUUAUCCCUUGAAUGCAUAUCUGUAAAAUAUAAAUAAUAAUAAAGUUUGAUUGGAUGCUAAAUUUACUAAAUUGAAAUUCAUGAUAGAUUUGUACGAAUCAUGGGCUCAAUUUUAGGUAGAACAAGCAAAUCAAGAUGACUUGCUCAAAAUUUGAUAGGCCACCACUUUUAUUCAAACACUGCAUCCUAAGAAUUAGCUUUUCGUUAUAGGAACAAGUAUUAGAAAGGAUACAUAAUUUUCAAGAAACUUAAUUGACUCGGUUAACAUGAUCUUUAGAAAUUUUAGUUGAUUCGACUAAUCUAAUUUCUAAGAAGUCGAGUUGAUCCAAUUGACACGAUCUUCAAAUUGGUCUAACUAGUUAAUUCACUACCUGUAAACCAUCAUUUGAGCUCAUGGUGUCUUUUAAUGGACAAAUUUGAAUUUAAUUUCUGCAAACCCAAAUAGAAUUAGCCGACCUAUAUUUCCUUACCUACCCUUUAUGUUGUUGGUACUUAGCACUAAAUGUUAGUGGCACCCUUCUUACCAUAGUUAGGUCUAUAGAAUAAUAUUAAAGCAUGUCAAUACUAAAGUAUGAUCCAUUUAACACCGUAUUGAUUUUAAUAAACAAUGUAACCAUCCACUAAUAGGGUUAAUUAACUCAAAUAAUUGCCUUUGAAUUAGGUCAAAUAGUGUUUUUCUAUACAUGCCCCAUUCAUCAUGUAGAUUGGUGUGUUUCAUGGGUUUAAAAAGACACAUGAAACACUAGGUAAAUUUAAUUCUUCCAUUCCUUGCAUGCAUAAAUAUUCUUAUUCUCUAAGCACUUGUAUUUAUCAUCUUCUUCAAUAUACUUUGUUACAUACGAAACACAACCUUCAAAGUUAUACCUGUCAUACAACUGAACAAACCUAAGAAUCAAAAUGUCCCCAAAGCUCUAUAUAGAACAUGUUUUAUAGGUGUCAUGACCAAUGCAAUGUUUCUUCUUCAACUUCUUAACCUAGUUAUUUUUUUGUUUGUUAAAAAUGCCUAAAUCCAAUGCAAUUUUCCUUGAGCUUCGUUAUAAUUAAGUUUAUAAAAAUAAUAAACCCAUCUAGUAUAUUGCAGGUAGUCCAAUAUUGUAUUGAAUAUGAUAAACAUUUUCUUGUUUGGCAUAAACUAAACCUUUUUUAUUUAAAUUUCCUCAAUAUGCUGAAGCAUUAGCAUUUUGUAAUGUAAAUUGUAGCCCAACCAAAUAUGUUAGCAUGUUAUGUUACUUGUUAUUUUCCAGCAAAGACAAUCCCUAUUGUGAAAUAAUAAGCUUUCUAGUUCUUAUUUUGUGACUUGUUUAUAGUUACUUUGAGUAUAUAACAAUUAUUGCUACUUAUGUUUUACAAAUAUUCUUCCAAUAUUAAUAAGAAGGCAUAGCAAUUCAUAACUUGAAACUCAUUUGUCAAGCUCAUCUACCUUAAUCACUUUUUGUUGAAUGUUGCUCCAUCAAUCAUUAAUUCUAAAUUCAGAGAACAAUGGAGUACCUAUUAGGUCAAUAAAGAGUGAUUGAUAUAUGAGUUUCUAGAUGUUAAUUUACAUGCCUUCUUAUUAAUUUUGAAUGUAUAUUUGUAAAACAUAAGAAAUAAUAAAGCUUGACUAGAUGCUCAAUGUACUAAAAUUCAUGGUAGAUUUGUCUAGGUUAGCUAAGUAAUGGAUAUGGCAAAUCUUAGGUCUAAUCAAUACCCUAAAAUGUCAUGAAACGAAGACUUUAUCUUGUAUCCAUGCCGAUCCCAAAUGUAGAUAUAAGUCACAUCAUUUCAUCUUCCUAAGAACAAUUAUGACAAUAACAUGAGAGAAAUCCUAAAAGAUUUACAACUUUUAAGUUUUGAAACUAACAAAUGGGAAGUUGUUAAAUGUUGAGAGAUUAUAGGCCACUGUUAAUGGAGAGCAUGCAUAUAUAAUGUUUGCAACUUCUCUCAUUCUAUCACUUUCAUAAAAUCAAAACAAUUACACCUUUUCUAUUUUAAUCUUAACAAUUUUAGGCAAGUGUUCAUCAUUUUAUGACUUGUAAACCAGCCAUUAAAUUACCAUAAAAAUAGUCUUGUUUCUUUUCUACUCACUACAGAGGAAUUUCAGUGUGAUUUUGAGUUAUAGAGCUAACAUUCAAAGAAACUCUAGUCGUGUUUUGUUGAAAUUUGGUGAGAAAACUCUAUUUAAGUAACAUUUUUUCCAAAAUCUUAAGAGUUUUUUAAGUCAUGAUAGAUAUUUUUAGUGUAACUAAUGAAUCCAUGGCUACCUUGUAUGAGGAGGCCUUAAGAAACUUUGGAUCUGAAAGCACUUUUAGAUAAUCGCUUUAUAAAAUAACAAAUUUUCAUACUCACUUUGCUAAUAUCCCUUUAAAUAAAUAAAUUUUAAGAAAUUCACUUUAAGAUGAUCACUUUAUAAAAACUCAAAUUUCAAAAUCACAUUGAGCAUAUCUCUUUUCAAAAUGAAUAAGUUUUCAAAAAAUCACUUCGAGAAAGUUACUCUAUAAAAAUAUCAUUUGUCAUGAGGUAGGUAGCUGCUCAAUCUAAUUAAUUGUUUUUUAAAAUUUAUGAGGUAGAUCACCUAAUGAUUUGAUAAUUUCAUAAAAAUAAGGCCACCCUUUCAAUUUAACUAUUUUAGAAAAAUAAGGUUGGUCACCUCUAAGUUUAACCAAAAUUCAAAAUUCUCUAAGUUGAUUUUGCCUCUCAAGUUUGAUGGUUUUUAAAGUUUUUUAAAAAAACAUUAUAUUUUCUUUACAAGCUUACUACACAAAUAUAUAUGUGAUGUGGCUUAAGGCAAGGUUGCGGGUUUGAUGGGGCAAAUAAACGAUAAGCAACCCAUGCGCAUGGGCUAUUCUUAAUAAUUUCAUCGGUUUUUUUUUUAACUAUUUUAUUUUAAUUUUAUUAACCUGAGGUUUAUUUUUAUUUUUUAUGUUUAUUUUAUCCAACCGAAGAGAGAGCGUGUUAAUAUUGCUGCGACCAGGUAGGAGAAAAGGAGAAUUCUUGAUGUAUUUAUUAAUUUAUUUAUAUGGAUACAUGCUGGCAAAUCCCAGGUAGCUUAAGACAGAAUGUUGUUCAAGUUUGGACGAGCUUUACACAUGACCUCCAAUGGCUCGGCUCUGCUCAUGAGGUUGACCAUCUUUUCAGUCAUGUCGAUUUCCUUUCCACCAACUCCCUCCCAGUCGAAGCACUGAAUCAGCGAGCCUAAGGUCAGGGCCAUUAUUUUGUGUGCCAAGACCUCCCCAGGACAAGCUCUCCUUCCCAAUCCAAAUGGCAAGUGCUUAUAUGCUUCGGAUUUCCAAUUCUCAAAUCUCUCAGGCUUAAACCUUUCUGGGUCCUCCCAUAUCUGGGGAUCUCUAUGAAUGGCCCAGGCAUUCACAAGUAAAAUUGUACCAGCUGGCACAUCAUAGCCUCCAACCUCACAAUCUGCAGAUGACAUAUGCGGUGCUAAGAGUGGUACAACUGGAUAUAGUCGUAAGUUCUCGAGGAUGAUGCUCUGAAGGUAGUGCAGUUUUGAAAAAUCUGAUUCAUCUAUUAAACGUUCAUGGCCAAUUUGAGUAUCCAAUUCUUCUCUGGCUUUCUUUACCACAUCUGGAUGGUUGAACAGAUUACAGACUCCCCAUUCUAUAGAUGUAACAAGUGUUUUUGUCCCAGCAAGCAACAUUAUCUGCAAGAACAAAAAAGAAAAAAGAAAAAAAAAACAAAGGGCAGUACCAUUUAAUAACAGCUUGAUGCGGCAGUACUCAAAUAAGCGAAAAAGAGUAAAUCAUGAAACUAACCAGAAUAAGUCCUUUUAUAAUUUCUUCUGUAUAGUAUUCGGGUUCAGAUUCCUGCAAAGUAAGCAAAUGAUUUAUCAUUGUGUUUCCAUUCUUUUCUCGUCGAAGUUCAUCAAUCAGUCCUUGCAAGAUCAGAUCCAUCCUGUUACUGAGCCCAGUGCACCUCUUGAUAAAUCCAUUAUAAUCAACAGAUUGAAAAAUGGGAAACACGUCCCCAAGAUUUGUCAACUCACUAAGGGCAGCAUACCCUUGUAAUGUCUCCUUAAACUUGGUUGCCUCCUCAACUAAUUUCACAUCUUCACCGUAAUAUCGCUUCCCUGCAAUCAUUCUCAUUACUAUAUUAAACGUGAAGUCCAUAAACAUGGACCUUAGUCCUACCUUAGCAAAACCAUCGCUAGAAUCUCGAUGGAGUCUGCACACCAAUCGCCUGAUUUCGUCCUUUCUGAUGGCCAAAAAUGCGUUGAGGCGAGACGAAGAGAAGAUUUCAAUGGCGCAAAUGCGGCGAAGGUUGCGCCAGUGAUCGCCAUAGCUGGCUGAAGCAAGGGUGGUGUUGUUGUAGUGCAAAUACUUGCCGGCUAAGAACUGAGGACGAUUGGCAAAAACUAUGUCAUUCUUGGUGAAGCAUUCUUCAACAGCUGACGGUGAUGAUACAACCACCACAGGUCGAGGGCCCAGUCGAAGAGAUAUGAUUGGGCCAUAUUUCUUUGAGAGGUUCUCAAGGCUUCGAUGGAUGGGUUGUCUGAGGAGAUGGAGAUGACCGAUAAAUGGAAUAGCUGGUGGGCUUGGAGGGAGAUUUCUACGUUUUUUUCUAGUUUGUAGCAACAACUUAACUGCAAGAAUAGCAAGUAAAAGACACAGAAAUGAGUAAACAUGGGUGUCUUCCAUUUGCAUGGACUGAGUAUAAUCAGUUCUUGUCUGAUUUCAACAUAUAUAAAAGAGUUUUGCACUUCUGCUGCUGUUUAAAAGUCGCUUGGUCAGUUGCAUUUUUCUUUUUUCUUUUUCUUUUUUUUCACAAAAGAUGUAAGCAAAAUUAACUUUCUUUCUUUAUAUUAUUUAAAAUUAUUUUUUGAUCAUUCUUCUUUGGCACAUGGGGGAAUUUCUACGAGGAAAUCUUAUGGCUGCAUCUAGAAAUAUAAUGGACUUUUAAGUUUUCUGGAGGAAAUAAUUUCUAAAGGAACUUGGAAUGAGUGGUGAAUUUGGCGGAAAGGGAGGUCUAGAAAUGCAGGACGAAUUUUUCGGCCGACUUUGACGAUGUGUUUCGGUUGAUGCGAGACCAUCUAGAUGAUCGAAAAUGAAAUCGCCAAAUUUACGGCUGCCCAGUGUGCCAAAUGUCUUCUGGGUUGCAGUUAUACUGUUUAGGCCAGCCAAUUACAGGAGGAACACAAGUAGUAUAUUAGAUUAUUUUAUUUUAUCCCGUGCUGUGCCGCAUAUAAAAGUAGUUUUUCUUUAAUAAAAUAAGUAUUCAAUUAUUGUUAUCAUGUUUUCUGAUAAAAUAGGCAUAAAUUCAAAAUAAGAUGUUAUUUUUAUUUUUUAAAAUAUUAGUAUGAUGAUAUAUUUAAUGAAUUUUAUUUUUAAAAUGUUUAGAUGAUAGAAUAUUGAAUCAAUUUAUAUUAAUCUGUCAAAUUUAUAACCCGAGUUAAAAAGUAAAUUAAAAUAAAUUAUUAAAAAUAAUUUCUAAUCAAGCCAAUGUUGAAAUAUAAUUUUAAAAAAAUAAAUUAAAAAAAUAACAAAAAAACUUAUUGAGUCAACUCUAAUUAACCUACUAAAUUCACGAUCAGAGUCAUGAAAUUGAGAAAACUCUAUAGAUAGUAAAUAAAAAAACUGAAGUCCAAUUACUAACCAAUUCAAUAUUAAAGAAUGAGAUAAAAAUUAAUUUAAAAAGGGAAACAGAAACGAUGUCAACUUUGGUCAACUUAUUAAACUCGAGACCUGAUUUAUAAGAUCGAGAUAAUUUUAUAAAAAUAUUAUAAAAAAUUCAUAAAGUUCCAUUUCAACUAGAUCCAAUGUUGAAUAUUGAAAUUGAGAAAAAACAAUCCAUGAGAUCAUGAUAACUUUACAAAAAACAAUUGAAAAAAAUAUAUAAAACUCAAUUCUCAAACAAUUUAAUAUUGAAGGAUAAAAUUGAAAAAAAACUAAAAAAAAAAACUAAGAUUGAGUUAUUGAAGGAUAAAAUUAAAAAAAAAACUAAGAUUGAGUUAUUGAAUAGUGAAAUUGAAAUAAAAAAUAUCCAAUUAAAAAAUGAUAAAAAAUAAAUUGAGUUAACUCAAGUCAACUUGUCAAACCCGAGUUAUGAGAUAAAAAUAACCAUAUAAAAAACAAAUGAAAAAGUUACAAAGCCUAAAAACACAUUCAAUUAAAAAUGGAUCUAAAAACUAAACAGAGUCAACAUUGUUAACCUAUCAAACCAAUUUAAUUUUGAAUGAUGAAAUUAAAAAAAAUUCAUUAGAAAAAAAAUAAAAAAAUAAUCUGAUUCAACCCGGUUAACCUGUUAAAAUUAUGACCCGACUUAUGAAAUUGAAAUAAUUCAUAAAAAGUAAAUAAAAAAAAUUAUAAAACCUCACUACCAACAUAUCUAAUGUUAAAAUCAAGAAAAAAAAACUAAAAUUAUAAAACCUCACUACCAACAUAUCUAAUGUUAAAAUCAAGAAAAAAAAAACUAAAAUUAUAAAUUCUCACUACCAACCUAUAUAUAAUUUAGUAGAAAUAAAAUUAAAAAAUUAUAAAGCAUAAUUUCUAAAAUAAUUUUAUAUUAAAAAAUAAAAUAACAAUCUAAUAUUAACCAAUAAAAUAAAAAGAAAUUUAUCGAAGAAUAAAUAACAAAUAACAGUGUUUUUUCUCCUAGUACAUGUGCGCGCCCGCCCCGUGUACCUGCCUUAUUCUUAUAAAGCAAACGAGACAAACCAACUUGCACUGCAGCCGACGUCUAGCCUUUUUAUAAAAUAUUUAUUUCAUCACGUGGCUUGAACCAUCUAGUACAUGAGAGUUGAGACCUCUCCUUAAUUUAAAAUUUCAUCCUUCUUCCCUUCGCACUAAAAUACAGUGUUUUAAAAUUCGGACCGGUCCGGCGGGUCGACCCGGGACCCGGCCGACCCGGGCAUAGGACCGGUCCAGGUGAAGACCAAAACUCGCUUGGAAAUUGACCCGGCCAGAUCCAGGUGAGACCCGGUCAAUUUUUUGGAGGGAUUCUGUCAUGCACCAGCUUCACAUCCACUGGUGCAACAUAGCAUAUAUGGACUUUCAAUCAGUGUUUUAAAACCCGGACCGGCCCGGCAGGUCGAUCCGGGACUUGAGGCCAACCCGGGCAUGGGACCGGUCCGGGUGGAGGCCAAAACCCGCUUGGAAAUUGGCCCGGCCAGACCCGGGUGAGACCCGGUCAAUUUUUUGGGGGGAUUCUGUCAUGCACCAGCUUCACAUCCACUGGUGCAACGUAGCAUAUAUGGACUUUCAAUCAUAGUUUUAAAACCCGUCCCGGUCCAAGGCCCGGGUUCCGGGUUUUGACCGGGUCAUCGGGUCUCGACCGGGUCGCCGGGUCAAAAUUUAUUUUUUAAUUUUUUUAAAAAAAAUCAAAACAACGUCAUUUUAGCAAAAAAAAAACAAAAAAAAUAAAAUUCAACGGGUUUGCGGUCAGGUCUUGACCGGGUCAACUGGGUCUGGCCGGGUCAAUUCCCAAGCGGGUUUUGGCCUCCACCCGGACCGGUCUCAUGCCCGGAUCAGCCGGGUCCCAAAUCAACCCACCAGGCUGGUCCGGGUUUUAAAACUAUACUUUCAAUAACAUAACAAAAAGUUUCGCCUGAAAAUCCACCAUGUAUAGAUAAGGCAGACAGAGGCAACAACAAAGAAUCCACCGAGUCUCUCAUAGCAAAUCAACCGACCAGUUCAGCAUCCAUUGUUUUUACUUUUCAGCCAUUGUUUUAGCUGUGAUUUGUUUUUCUUCUCUCAUUAUGAUUAAAAAAAAAAAGUAAAACAAAAAAAUGUGAGUUUAAAAACAUUGUAAAAAAUAUAAGUAAAAAAAAAUAAAACUUUGAGAGUGUUUUUUUUUUAUAUAUAGUUUUUUAUACUAGGCUUAGACCGUCCCAUUGAGAAAUCUUAAUUAAUGGGCCUUAUCCUCAUUUUCAUUAUUUUGAAAAUGCAGUCAGGCCCAGAGGAUUCCUUCCAAGUUUCAUCACUUGAAAGCUUUGACUUUGUUGGAGAAUGCCAUUCUAAUUGUAUUAAUGAAAGAAAGGGACAAAGCUUUGACAUUGUUUUUUAUUUAUUGGAAAUAAUUGUUAUUAUUUAAUGGAUGAAAAUGAUUUUCAAUUAAAGAUAACCCAAAAUAAAUAAAUAAUAAUUGUUAUUAUUUAAUGGCUUAUUUACCCUUUCCUAACGUCACUGGCAAUGUUAUGUUCCUAUUUGCUCUGCUGACUGCUGGAAAAGCAUGAUCGAAUUGAGUCAAUUGGCUAUUCCACUUCUUCUCUGUGAAAUUUCUUCAACCACUUCCCCUUUCAAGUUUCCUCCCUUAUCGUCAAACAAACAGGUAUUAAUUGAUGUGUCAGCUAGCGUCUCUUCUCCUGGCAUCUUUUACCAUUCUUACAUAGUUUAGUAAAGUCUAUGGAAAAUAACACAAGUUGGAAAAGUUUUAGAAAAAUAAUUUAGUUCGAACCCAAUUGUGCUUUUAAAUAUUGAUUUUGGGUGUUUGUUUAGUCAGAAGUUAAAUAAUUCAUGGACAAAAAAGUUAAUAUGAUCAAAGGAUGAGAUUCAAAAUUCAAUAACUAAAAAGAAGACACGAGAUAAGCUGGCUGGUGUGGAAAGAAAGAGAAACAGAGGGAGAGAAAGAAAAAAUGAAUCACCAAUAAUAUAUUAGGGCUCCUUUUUCAAUACACCCGAUAACAUUAAAAAGGUUUAAACGAGAUGUUUUUAAUCAUAUCUAAAAGAACAUUAAACAAGAUUAUAAUAACAUCAAUUAAUAAUGAGGAUCAACUCUGAUUCCUCUGUCAGUGAUGUCAUGCCAAUAGCAUUUUAAUAACAUACAAAAGUUGGGGCACAUGCCAAUUUUCUGGUAUCCUAAAUCAAGGGGUUUCAUCAUGGACUUCGCAGCAUAUAAGUUCUUUUUCAGUCUGUUCCCUUCAGGUAAAAUGCUUCUCGUCCAUUUGAUAAUUUUGUCAUACCCGACCUCACUCAACCUGUGAUCUGACUUAAUGGUGAACAACUGUGCUACGACCAAAAAUUUACUGUGGUUCGUGCAGCCAUCCCAAAAUAAUUCGUCAGAAUCUUUCAAUAGAUUAAAAAACCUAGUUGUAUCUACAUUAGGUUCUUCUUUUACGAUCAGACAUUGACUAGCGUUACCUUGAUUCAUUCUUAUUGCAUCCAUAAUCAUAUUCCUGUAAGGAUUAUUGUUGUCAUUUGCAACUCCAUGCACGUUGUUAGCACUAGAGGGUGGCCCAACCACCCUUUCUCUCAUGCUCUAAUUACGAACAAAUACUUCUCCGUGUGCAUACCAACAUAGAUAACUCUCCAUAAACCCUUUGUGUAGAAGAUGCAUCAUUACAAUAUUUGGAUGCAGAUAGUUUUUAUUUUCACACUUCCUAUAUGAACACCUAAUACCGCCUCCAGUAAAAUUUAUGGGAAUAGAUGUUGCGAAAUUAAUAAAACCCUGAACCCUGUUACAACAAUCCAUCCUUCGCAAUCCUUGAGGUGAAUCUCAAUACAUCCAUGAACGAUAAUCCAUAACUUCUAUCGAACCUCUAUAAAAUUAUGAUGACAACAUGUAUUAAUUAACUAUGUUAGGUAAAUAAAUUUGCAAAAAUAUUGGUUUACCUCCAGAUUAUCCAACGAGCUAAUUACAAUUUUUCAUAAAUAUUAAUUAUCAAUUAUCAACGUCCAUACAAAUUUAUACAUAUAAAUUUAUGAAAAUUACAACUCUGCAAUAGCAUUGAUAAAAAUUAAAACAGACCCAUUAAACAAUCUAUUAAUUAUUUCAUCACAACACAUGUAAUUUGGUAAUUCAAUAAAGUUUCAGCAAUUUACAAACAAAUACAAUUUUACAAAAUCUAAAACAAACCAUAACAAGUAUAAAAUUAUACAUUCAUAUACUACAAGUUUGUUUGAGAAAUAACAAUAAAACAUAUACAUACACUACCAAAAUACAUAUUCUAAAAAAAACAAUAAAAUUGACAUUUAAAUGUUAAAAUUAAAAAAAGAUAGAUUUACUUACAAAAAAUAAUAAAAUCCACAAUAAAUCAUAAUAUGGAUGUUGUGACUACAAAACUUAAAGAAAUAUGACUUGUGCUGAGAAGAGGGAGAUUUUUUUUUAGAGGGGCUGGUUGUUUGCAGUUUGGGAGGGGAGAGUUGGGAUAGGGAAGAAGAAUGAGAAAUAGGGGACAUAUUCACUUUUACCGAUGACAUCGCCAACGAAAUACUUUUGUCGAUGAUUCCAUCGACAAGUUUGACGGUGAAUUGGUCACAUCACUGUAUGGAGAUCCUAGUUUGAAUCCCUUACUGAUUCUGUCGAUAAAAUCGCUUGCAAAAAGUUCCACGUCAGCAAACCGUCUUUUUUUUUUAAUUAUGAAUAUUCUGUCUUUAAUUCCGUCGGUAUAUACCGACUAAAUUACAGACGGAAUAGUGUCCGUCGGUAAUUAUCACCGCAAAUUACCAAUAGAAUUAUUCCAUCGGUAAUUUCGUUGGUUUUAAGCAAAUUUCUAGUAAUGGUUAUUAUAAUUUUAUAACAUGGGUCACCUGUUUUGUGGGUUAACCCUAGUAGAAUCAAGUUAUUUUAUUGUGUCCUAUUUUUAAAUUAAAGUUUUUCUAUCUUUAUCUUUUAAUGAAGUUGCUUUUAGACUCAUCAAGUAGAUCAUGUCACAUUGAGCUAAUCUUCGCACAAUUUAAUUUGUUUUCUAUUAGAAAAACAUUAACACUACCUAAAUGUUUCUUUGUUUUUUUUGUUAAAAAAAAUUUGAUCAGCAUAUAUCAACGAUAGAGUCUUUUACUAGUUUUUUUUGUAAUAAAUAACAGUAACCAUACUCAUUCUUUAGCAAAGUUAGCCAAAUUUGUAGAUAGAAUAUACUUCUGUUAUUUUCUCAACUACUAAGAUAGAUUAUACAAAAUCUUCAUUCUGAUUAAUGAAAGUUAUGUAUAUAUUUUUUUUUUAAAGAGUGGUCCUUAUAAAUGUCAUCUCGAAAUUAGUCCUUACAGUUUUGAAUCAUUAAUAACUUAGUUUUUUUUUUUGUCAAUUUUUACCGUGUUUGUUUACGUGCUCAUGCUAUACUUUUCAAAAAAAAAUUGUUUUAUAUUAAUUUUUUUUUUAUGUUUUUAGAUUAUUUUAAUAUAUUAAUAUUAAAAAUAAAUUUUAAAAUAAUAAAAUAUAUUAUUUUAAUAUAAUUAUAAAUAAAAAAUAUUUUUUAAAAAAACUAAUAUAUUACCUUCAUAUUUGUUGUUACUAAUCAAUUAGGGACAAGUUUUAAUUAAGCCUUCAAGAUACAUUGAACAGCGAAUGAACAUAAAAGUUUUUUUUUAUAUAAUGUAUGCUUCAUAUAUUGUUGUGUAGAAUAUAUUUUCUUAGUUGAAAAUUUAUUAAAGUAGUAUUUUUUAAAAAAUUUAUAUUUUAAUUUUAACACAUCAAGAUAAUUAAAAAUUUUAAAAAUAAAAAUAUUAAUUUAAUAUUUUUUAAGAUAAAUAUACUUUUACAACAUAUCCAAAGAUAAUUAGAAAAUUACUCCCGCACCGGUAAGAAGCGAGGAAUGAGAACGGUCAAUAAUUAGUCAACAAGUCUUCCUCUGAAAUUUCAAACUUGCCAGUACUCCCUCAUAUCUUCCGCUCCUGACAUCCUUUCCUCCGUUCAAAGAAAAAGCAUCAAAUAUCCUCAUCCAAUUUCUAUGGAGUUCACUCUUCAUCCUCGCCUUCUUCUUCAAUUUCUUCUUCUUCUUCCUCUUCUUUCAUCCUCAGUAUCUUACAAUCCUUCGGUUAAGUACUUCAUGAACUGCGGAUCAGACACCAACGUCGAUCUUGAGGAAUACCGGACUUUUGUUGGUGAUGAGAAUUCUAACACUUCCUUCUCCGUAGGAAAAAGCAAAUCUAUCCAAAAUGAAAACCCUUUACCCGGCACAUCACUCCUCUAUCAUACUGGUUCCUACCUUGUCCGCCUUCAUUUCUUUCCAUUCAGCUUCAAAGGGACUCAUCUUGCUGAUGCUUUGUUCAAUGUAUCUGCUUCAAAUUUUUCACUUUUAACAGAUUUUAGAGUCCCGAACAGUACUACUCAGUUCCCAGUGAUCAAGGAGUUCUUUCUCACGAUUCCUGCAGGAAAUUUCAAAAUUUACUUUCAACCAGCUGAAGAAACAACUCAUGCUUUCGUGAAUGCCAUAGAAGCCUUUCUUCUCCCACCAAAUUUCUUCAUGGAUAAUUCAACAAUUCCUCCUUUACAGACCAAAGAUGGAGCUCUUAGGACACUUUAUAGGAUCAAUGUUGGAGGUCCAGAAGUUAAAGAUACCCUGUGGAGGAAUUGGGUACCAGAUGCUGAUUAUCUAGCUUAUGGGGGUUCGGGUGCAAACCACCGUUCUUUUUAUGGUGAACUUCAUUACCGCAGUCAAGGGUUGAUUCUCCAACAAAUUGCCCUUGAUUCUGUGUACAUAACUUGCAGAGAAGCGAGUGUAGAAAAUAUAACUUGGCGUUUUAACGUGAGUAAGAAAGCUAUGCAUCUUGUUCGUCUGCACUUUUGUGACUUUGUCAGCAAGUCACCAGGUACUGUGAAAUUUGAUCUCAAUAUAUCUACCAAUUUCAGUCAUGUGAUCGAUCCUAAUUAUGAUGGGUUUAGUGAAAUGGCAUCUCCAUUUUUCUACGAUUUUGUGUUUCCUUCUGAUGAUUCCGGAUAUAUGAGUUUUAGUAUAGCCCCAGGAAAUAAUUCUACUGCGAAAGUUGCUUUUCUGAAUGGAUUGGAGAUCAUGGAGUUUGUGGGGAACACGAUAAUUGUAGUGCCUGUUGAUGA
rnacentral:lncRNA from 1 species